GUCUACAGCCAUGCCACCCUGGAUGCGUGCAAUCGCGUCUGAUCUUGGAAGCUGACGCGGGGUCCGGCUUGGUGAGUGCUUGGAUGGGAGAAAGCUAAAGCCCUUUGAUGAAUGCCCCAGUGUCGGAUAUU
rnacentral:rRNA from 1 species